AAGCCUGACACGAAACCAAGAGUAAACAGGGUAAAUGCUACAUCUUCACAGUACAUUAAAUAUGUUCACUCAAACUCAGUUGAGUGCUGGUUAGGUAACUUUAAUCCUCCAUGUUUUUACUCAGUUUGUUUCGCCAGCUAUGCUUUGCAGCGAAUAUAAAUACCUUCAUAACAUUUAAAUAAAAUGUGUUCUUCUAUGAAACAGUAAAAAUGGUUGAGGGGUUUAUAAUUUAGCUGAAUGGACAUAACUAGAGCUGUACUACUUGUGCCUAGUUAACUUGCCAACAAUGUUCUUACUGUAAAUGUCAUUACGGUUACAUGCUCACAUUAAUGUGGUUAUUGUGCAUAGUCAUUAAUAAAAUAGUUCGAUUCAAACGUUUAGAUGCUUUGCAAGAAUAACGAUCUCUCUAAUAAUCAUGUAUACAUGGACACGUCGGAAAUCAGGUUACCCGAUGGCACUCUGACAAAUGCAGAAAAUCGCCAAUCAAAAUAAACGUUCUACCACUGCGACCGCGUUAUUUUUUGGGAAGCAUAGUUGACAUAUAAAGCUUUUAUGUGAAAACUACGUAUGAAGCCGAAACCACAGAGACACGCCGUUAAAAUUUGCGUGCGAGAGUAGAGUGCGUCAAUUCACAUACACAGUAUCGCAUAUGCCAAUUUAAUGGUCAUUACAUAACAAACAGUUGUAUUUGUUAUGUUCGCUAUGUGCCCUUGUGAAUUAUUGUGUUCCUUUUGAUUAACGUUGUCCUACAGGAGCAACCGUACAUGCCUACUCUAAACAGUUAUGUUAGCUCACGAAUGUGAAGAGUUGUUGCUCAUACACCCGAGCAGAUUUUUAAGAAUGUAUCUUGUCUCAUUCGUUCUACACAACAGUAUUCUCUCUUGAAAUCAGAGUUCCUCGAGUUUCCCAGCCCUAGCCUGCCUAAGCUAAGUUAUAUUCCUGUGAUGGAAAUCAACACAGGUGCCUCCUUGCUUUGCUGUUCAUUGCUAUCCUUAUCAACAAGUUGAUAGGACCGUCUUUCUCCACCCUCUUCGAGUUAGACAGUGGUCGGAGCGACACCGACAAGCAUAUGCUGCCCCCCUCUCCUCCUGAGACUGAAGGCUCUAUUCCCGUUCCAUACCGACUAGCUCGUGUCAGCUCCAGCAGAAAGCAGCAGGUUCAGGAAGAGCCUGAAGCCUUCCAGAGCCCAGUGAGGUGUCUUUCCAAUUCCAGAGCCUGGUGAGGUGCCUUUCCAGGGUGGAGAAGACCCUUUACUGCACCAUUGGUGCCCCGGCUCUAUCAAGAUUCCUUGGCACGAGCAGAACAACCAGGAACCAGCAGUAAGGUUCUGAUAUCUUUUGGUUUAUGUUCAUGAUUUCUUAGUAUUGACGCAACUUCAUGAAUAAUCCGUUUUCUUGUUGGCUACAACCAUGGUUCUUCCCAGGCUACGGGUGGUGUCUGGUUGGAGUCUUCCCAGGGUGUAUUUGUCUGGGUACCAUCAGUAUGGUCACUACAUGGCUACUAGGUAAGGUUGUUACAUCUUUCUGAUGUGUUGCAGCUUUAACACUUAUUUUUCUAUUCCUGGCUAGCAGCUCUGUAUUAACCUGGAUCCUGAUAUCAUUUGGCUAUGCUGCUCUACAACCUUGAAUAAAUGACUUUAAAAUGUU